GAUGAACGCUGACAGAAUGCUUAACACAUGCAAGUCGAUUCGAUUUACCUUCGGGUAUUGAGGAUGGCGGACGGGUGAGUAACGCGUAAGGAACUUGCCUCUUGGUCUGGGACAACUGUUGGAAACGACAGUUAAUACCGGAUAUUAUGAGAUUCUCGCAUGGGAAACUUAUGAAAGCUAUACGCGCCAAGAGAGAGCCUUGCGUUCCAUUAGCUAGUUGGUGGGGUAACGGCCCACCAAGGCGACGAUGGAUAGCCGGCCUGAGAGGGUGAACGGCCACAAGGGGACUGAGACACGGCCCUUACUCCUACGGGAGGCAGCAGUGGGGAAUAUUGGACAAUGGGCCACAAGCCUGAUCCAGCAAUUCUGUGUGCACGAUGAAGGUCUUCGGAUUGUAAAGUGCUUUCAGUUGGGAAGAAGAAAGUGACGGUACCAACAGAAGAAGCGACGGCUAAAUACGUGCCAGCAGCCGCGGUAAUACGUAUGUCGCAAGCGUUAUCCGGAUUUAUUGGGCGUAAAGCGCGUCUAGGCGGAAAAAUAAGUCUGAUGUUAAAAUGCGGGGCUCAACUCCGUAUUGCNUUGGAAACUGUUUUUCUAGAGUACUGGAGANGUGGGCGGAACUACAAGUGUAGAGGUGAAAUUCGUAGAUAUUUGUAGGAAUGCCNAUGGAGAAGUCAGCUCACUGG
rnacentral:rRNA from 1 species